AUGCAUGUCUUUGUCAGGCAGUACAUGAGGCUCCAAUUUGACACUGAGCGCAAUGAGAGCUACGAGGAGAAAAGGACCAUGAUUGGCGGCCCGGUGAGACGAACUAACCUCGCAAUAGAGCGGCAUGCUAGCAAAAUAUACACUAGGAACAUGUUUGAGGAAUUUGGUCGCCUGCUGAUUGAAGGAACGGCGUACAAUGUUACUGAAGUUGAUAAGAUGAGGAGGUACAUCACCACUCGAAACAAUGCAGCGAAAAGAGAGAAGUGGAGUAGGGUCGAGUAUGAGGUAACCAUAAACAAAUACAAAACAAUAUUCACUUGCGAGUGUGGUCAGUUUGAGCACACUGUAAUGAUUUGCAGCCAUGCAUUGAGG
rnacentral:rRNA from 1 species